rnacentral:rRNA from 1 species
AACGAACGCUGGCGGCAGGCUUAACACAUGCAAGUCGAACGCCCCGCAAGGGGAGUGGCAGACGGGUGAGUAACGCGUGGGAACAUACCCUUUCCUGCGGAAUAGCUCUGGGAAACUGGAAUUAAUACCGCAUACGCCCUACGGGGGAAAGAUUUAUCGGGGAAGGAGUGGCCCGCGUUGGAUUAGCUAGUUGGUGGGGUAAAGGCCUACCAAGGCGACGAUCCAUAGCUGGUCGGAGAGGAUGAUCAGCCACAUUGGGACUGAGACACGGCCCAAACUCCUACGGGAGGCAGCAGUGUGGAAUAUUGGACAAGGGGCGCAAGCCUGAUCCAGCCAUGCCGCGUGAGUGAUGAAGGCCUUAGGGUUGUAAAGCUCUUUCACCGAUGAAGAUAAUGACGGUAGUCGGAGAAGAAGCCCCGGCUAACUUCGUGCCAUCCGCCGCGGUAAGAC